rnacentral:rRNA from 1 species
AAUGAACGUUGGCGGCGUGGAUUAGGCAUGCAAGUCGAGCGAGAACCCAGCAAUGGGGGACAGCGGCGCAAGGGACAGUAAUGUGUAGAUCAUCCGCCCUCAGGCCCGGGAUAGCUGCGGGAAACUGCAGGUAAUACCGGAUAACAUCUCCGGAUCAAAGGUGUGAUUCCGCCUGAGGAUGAGUCUACAUCCUAUUAGCUAGUUGGCAGGGUAACGGCCUACCAAGGCGAUGAUGGGUAGCGGGUGUGAGAGCACGACCCGCGUCAUUGGGACUGAGACACUGCCCAGACACCCACGGGUGGCUGCAGUCGAGAAUCUUCGGCAAUGGGCGCAGGCCUGACCGGGCGACGCCGCGUGCGGGAUGAAGGCCUUCGGGUUGUAAACCGCUGUCAGAGGGGAUGAAAUACAGGUGGUUUCUCCCAUCUGUUUGACAUAGCCUCAGAGGAAGGACGGACUAAGUUCGUGCCAGCAGCCGCCGUAACAC